UGACAGUAAAGAAGACAGAAG
rnacentral:misc_RNA from 1 species